rnacentral:rRNA from 1 species
ACUGGCAGCUGUAUUAUCCUGCAAUUCACACCUGACAACCCACUGAAGCUCAGCAGGUGUGAGCCUGGCCAGUACCUGGAUGGGAGACCUCCUGGGAAAGUUGAGGUUGUUGCUGGAA